UACGAAGGGGGCUAGCGUUGUUCGGAAUUACUGGGCGUAAAGCGUGCGCAGGCGGCUGCUCAAGUCAGGGGUGAAAGCCCAGAGCUCAACUCUGGAAUUGCCUUUGAGACUGAGUGGCUUGAGUACGGGAGAGGUGAGUGGAAUUCCCAGUGUAGAGGUGAAAUUCGUAGAUAUUGGGAAGAACACCGGUGGCGAAGGCGGCUCGCUGGCCCGUAACUGACGCUCAUGCACGACAGCGUGGGGAUCAAACAGG
rnacentral:rRNA from 1 species